GGCCCACCAAGACUAUUACAGGUACGGGCUCUGAGAGGAGUAGCCCGGAGAUGGGUACUGAGACACGGACCCAGGCCCUACGGGGCGCAGCAGGCGCGAAAACUUUACAAUGCGGGAAACCGCGAUAAGGGGACACCGAGUGCCAGCAUACUAUGUUGGCUGUCCACAUGUGUAAAUAGCAUGUGUUAGCAAGGGCCGGGCAAGACCGGUGCCAGCCGCCGCGGUAACACCGGCGGCCCGAGUGGUAAUCACUAUUAUUGGGUCUAAAGGGUCCGUAGCCGGUUUAAUCAGUCUUCCGGGAAAUCUGACAGCUCAACUGUUAGGCUUCCGGGGGAUACUGUUAAACUUGGGACCGGGAGAGGUAAGAGGUACUACAGGGGUAGGAGUGAAAUCUUGUAAUCCCUGUGGGACCACCAGUGGCGAAGGCGUCUUACCAGAACGGGUCCGACGGUGAGGGACGAAAGCUGGGGGCACGAACCGGAUUAGAUACCCGGGUAGUCCCAGCCGUAAACGAUGCUCGCUAGGUGUCUGGAAUGGUGCGACCGUUUCAGGUGCCGCAGGGAAGCCGUGAAGCGAGCCACCUGGGAAGUACGGCCGCAAGGCUGAAACUUAAAGGAAUUGGCGGGGGAGCACCACAACAGGUGGAGCCUGCGGUUUAAUUGGAUUCAACGCCGGAA
rnacentral:rRNA from 1 species